GCCCUUUGGAGAAAUUUGGGGUUUUGAGAGUUUCUACCUCCAUUGAAGCUUGAGGAGCCAUCAAUCCUUGGUUGUGUGACCAUUGGUGGAUUGAGACAUUUGGACCAACCGUGAGUGAUCAACCAUUGGAGCAAGCUAUGGAGCUUGAAUAGCUCAUUGGAAUUGGUGUAUGUUUGUAAAAGUUGAUUGCUGAAACUGUUGGUGAAGAACAAAGGUUGACUGAAGCAUUGAGGUAAGGAUGCUGCAGGAGCCUCUGGUGGCAAGUGGCCAUACCUAGAUUAUGCAUGAAAUAUGGCACUUCUUUGAGUUUAUGCAUGCCUUUUGUAGUUGACAUGUAUAGGAUUUUAUUUUGAAAGCCCAUGAUCAUUUGUAUAUCUUGAUUCAUUGGAUGAACUUAGCCUAUGCUCAUGCCUUUGGUUACACCUUUUGUUGAUGGGAGCCAAGGGAAUGAUCAUAGUGUUUUGUAAGCUAAGUUCUAUGAUUUGUAAAGGAUAUGUAAUGUAAAU